UACGUAGGGUGCAAGCGUUAAUCGGAAUUACUGGGCGUAAAGCGUGCGCAGGCGGUUUCGUAAGUCUGUCGUGAAAUCCCCGGGCUUAACCUGGGAAUGGCGAUGGAGACUGCGAGGCUAGAGUUUGGCAGAGGGGGGUAGAAUUCCACGUGUAGCGGUGAAAUGCGUAGAGAUGUGGAGGAACACCGAUGGCGAAGGCAGCCCCCUGGGUCAAAACUGACGCUCAUGCACGAAAGCGUGGGGAGCAAACAGG
rnacentral:rRNA from 1 species